CACGCGGAAUACAGCACAAAGCCAGGCUCAAGGUGAAGGAUGUCUCACAUACACCUCAGCCCUAAAUCCACUCAACUGGGAUGCAACUAAAACUCAUGUAUUGCAUCAAAUAGUGAAGGUUUACUAUUAUGCUAACGAAUUCGAUCCAUGCUCGAAUAAAAAUGUUCAAUGACAUUGUUCACUAUUCCUUUACCCAAUCUGUAGUGAAGCCCUUCGGUUCGCCAAUAACUCACCUUUCAAUCCCAAAGUGGGGAGGGAGCUCCAAGUGCACCCAACCCCAGGACCGUCUGCGGACCUCUAUGUGGUCCGGACCUCCAAGUGGUCCUAGCUGCACGACACUCCGGAGUACUUGACGAUAAUCCCCUCCACGUGGGGAUAGGAUGGCUAUACCACCCCAAAAGCAGACUGUGAGCUAGAUCUAUCCUCUCCAAGUGAGGAUACCCUACAACUAGGGUCAACAACCCAAUCAAGUCCUCUCCAAGUGAGAAUGCUAUACAACUGGAGUCAACAACCCAAUCAAAUCCUCUCCAAGUGAGGAUGCUCUACAACUAGAGUCAACAACCCAAUCAAAUCCUCUCCAAGUGAGGAUGCUCUACAACUAGAGUCAAUGUCUCAAUAACUCAUCGACAACCUCUCCAUGUGAGGGUACUUAGGUUUACUAAAUUCUUUAUCCACAAGGCAUUUUCUAAGGGAUUCACCUAUCCCUAGGUUCUCAAACCUCUAGUGUCAAAUACACUACAUUAAUGCCACUCGAUAUGUUCUUGUUUUCCAAAGUCAAUUUCUCUAAUCGACCAAGUUCAACAUGCAUAAUUCAUCUACUAUGUUCCACAAUAUGGCAACAUGCAUAAUUCUUCUAUCAUAUGCAAUAUAUGUCAUCAUGUAU
rnacentral:lncRNA from 1 species